rnacentral:rRNA from 1 species
AUUGAACGCUGGCGGCAGGCCUAACACAUGCAAGUCGAGCGGAUGAAGGGGGCUUGCUCCUGGAUUCAGCGGCGGACGGGUGAGUAAUGCCUAGGAAUCUGCCUGGUAGUGGGGGAUAACGUCCGGAAACGGGCGCUAAUACCGCAUGCGUCCUGAGGGAGAAAGUGGGGGAUCUUCGGACCUCACGCUAUCAGAUGAGCCUAGGUCGGGUUAGCUAGUUGGUGGGGUAAAGGCCUACCAAGGCGACGAUCCGCAACUGGUCUGAGAGGAUGAUCAGUCACACUGGAACUGAGACACGGUCCAGACUCCUACGGGAGGCAGCAGUGGGGAAUAUUGGACAAUGGGCGAAAGCCUGAUCCAGCCAUGCCGCGUGUGUGAAGAAGGUCUUCGGAUUGUAAAGCCCUUUAAGUUGGGAGGAAGGGCAGUAAGUUAAUACCUUGCUGUUUUGACGUUACCAACAGAAUAAGCACCGGCUAACUUCGUG